rnacentral:rRNA from 1 species
UGGGGAAUAUUGGACAAUGGGCGCAAGCCUGAUCCAGCCAUGCCGCGUGAGUGAUGAAGGCCCUAGGGUUGUAAAGCUCUUUCACCGGUGAAGAUAAUGACGGUAACCGGAGAAGAAGCCCCGGCUAACUUCGUGCCAGCAGCCGCGGUAAUACGAAGGGGGCUAGCGUUGUUCGGAUUUACUGGGUGUAAAGCGCACGUAGGCGGACUAUUAAGUCAGGGGUGAAAUCCCGGGGCUCAACCCCGGAGCUGCCUUUGAUACUGGUAGUCUUGAGUUCGAGAGAGGUGAGUGGAAUUCCGAGUGUAGAGGUGAAAUUCGUAGAUAUUCGGAGGAACACCAGUGGCGAAGGCGGCUCACUGGCUCGAUACUGACGCUGAGGUGCGAAAGCGUGGGGAGCAAACAGG